AGGGAUGGUUCAAUAUAUGGAAAA
rnacentral:misc_RNA from 1 species